UCUCUCUCUAUGCGCCUCUCCCUCUCUGCUCGAUCUCCCUCUUUGCACCUCUCCCUCUCCGCUCGAUCUACCUCUCAGCCUCUCCCUCUCCGCUCGAUCUCUCUCUCCCUCUUCACUCUCGAACCCUCCCAUCUCCCUCUCCGCUUGAUCUACCUCUCCCUCUCCCUCUCCCUCUUUCUCCCUCUUUUAUUUCUUCUUUUCUUUUGUCCAGCAGGUUAAGGAUCAUUAUGCAAUAUCAGCUGACAGAGAGGACGGCCUGCAACCUUUCAUGUAAAGCUGCACCUUCCAACUUGUACAUGCACUUGGACUCUCUCAUCUGUUCUUUGAAUAUUUGAAUGUAUGAUCUGGAGCAAGGCAUCAUGCAUCCACACAUCUGGAUUGAUGGCAAGAGAAUCGAAUGAGGUGCUGAAGAUGAGAUGAUCCAUCAAGUGGACAAG